UACUAGAGUAGCACUCGCAUAUCAAUAAGCGGAGGAAAAGAAACUAACAAGGAUUCCCCUAGUAACGGCGAGUGAAGCGGGAAAGAGCUCAAAUUUGAAAUCUUAAAGGGUUUCCCUUUACGAAUUGUAGUUUAAAGAAGUGUUUUUCUGUUGAGGUUUUGGUAAAAGUUCUUUGGAAUAGGACAUCAUAGAGGGUGAGAAUCCCGUAUUUGACCUUUACUUUCAACUUUGUGAUACACUUUCAAAGAGUCGGAUUGUUUGGGAAUGCAGUCCAAAAUGGGUGGUAAAUUUCAUCUAAAGCUAAAUAUUGGCGAGGAGACCGAUAGCGAACAAGUACCGUGAGGGAAAGAUGAAAAGAACUUUGAAAAAGAGAGUUAAACAGUACGUGAAAUUGUCAAAAGGGAAGCUGUUUGACACCAGUGUUGUUUUUUCCUGAAAAUCAAUUAAAGAACUGUUUAUGCUAAGCUGUUUAGACUUUAUCAGCUAUCUGUUUAGUUUUGAGCUUUUCUUUAAUGCACUUUUCAGUUAACAAGUCAACAUCAAUUUCUUUUGCUGUAAAAAAGCUUGAGGAAGGUGGCUUGAGAUUCGUCUUAAGUGUUUAUAGCCUCUUGCCUAUGCAGUCGGAGAGAUUGAGGUCUGCAGCGUAGAUCCUUCGGGGCUAAAUGCAUUUGUGCUAAGUUAUAGCAUUUUAUAGACAACUUGUUGACUAUGAUUUGUCUUGUAGCUUACUCGCUUAUGUUAUUUUACCUACGCUUAGGAUGUUGAGCGCAUGUCUCUCUCU
rnacentral:rRNA from 1 species